GGUUGAUCCUUGCCAGUAGUCAUAUGCUUGUCUCAAAGAUUAAGCCCAUGCAUUGUGUAAGUAUAACUUGAUUCAGGGACUGUGAAACUUGCGAAAUGGCCUCAUUAAAUCAGUUAAUAGUUUGUUUAUGUAUCUGCUACUCGGAUAACCGUAGUAAUUUCUAGAGCUAAAUACAGUGCCAACUAAACCCAGACUUUCUGAAGAUGCAUUUAUUAGAUAAAAGGUCGACGCGGGGCUCCUGCCGUUGCUCUGAUGAUUCUAUGUAUAACUCGACGAGGAGCGCACGGUUCAUCGUGCCGGCGACGCACAUCAUUCAAAUUUUGCCCUAUCAACUUUCUAUGGUAGUAUAGAGGCCCUACCAUGGGGGUGACGGGUGACGGAGAAUUAGGGUUCGAUUCCUGAGAGGAGCCUGCAGAAGAAACGCUACCACAUCCAAGGAAGCAGCAGGCGCGCAAAAGUACCCAAUCCUGACACGGGGAGUGUUGACCAAUAAAUAACAAUACCGGGCUCUUCGAGUCUGCGUAUUGGAAUGAGUACAAUCUAAAUUCCCUUAACGACGGAUCCAUGGGAGGGCAAGGGUCUGGGUGGCCAGCGCAGCCGCGGUAAUUCCAGCUCCAAUAGCGUUAUUUUAUUAUAAAAAGCUCGUAGUUUGUACCUUGGGUUGGGUUUCCGCGUCCGCCCUCCGGUGUUGCACCUGUCGGCUCGGUCUUUCAUUUUUUUUGCCCGUGGGCGAUGCGCUCCUGGCCUUAAACUGUGCCGGGUCGUCGCUCCGGCGCUUUUUGCAAAGCCUACGCUCUGGAUACAUUAGCAUGGAUAACAUUUCAUGGAUUUCGGUUUUGUGUUGGCCUUCGGAUCGGAGUAAUGAUUAACAGGACAGUCGGGGGGCAUUGCGUAUUUUUAUCAUAUUCAGAGGUGAAAUUCUAUGGGAUUUAUUUGAAAGUUUUUAGCAUUUUGCCAAGGAUGUUUUCAUUAAAUCAAGAACGAAAGUUGGGGCUCGAAGUUACAUCAGGUACCGCUCUAGUCUCAGAACCAUAUCGAUGCCGACCAGCGUGAUCGGCGGAUUCGGCGGAUGUUGCUUUUAGGACUCCGCCGGCACCUUAUGAGAAAUCAAAGUCUUUGGGUUCCGGGGGGAGUAUGGUCGCAAGGCUGAAACUUAAAGGAAUGAAACUUUAAAGGAAUUGAACGGCUUAAGGGCCACCUACCAGGAGUGAUUUUUACUCAACACGGGGAACUUACCAGGUCCAACAAUUAGUAAGGAUGAAGACUGAGAGCCUCUUUCUUGAUUCUAUGGGUGUGGUGCUCUUCUUAGUUGUGGAGCGAUUUUGUCUGGUUAAUUCCGUUAACGAACAGACCUCAGCCUGCUAACUAGCUAUGCGGAGGUGACCUCGCGCAGCUUCUUAGAGGGAUUAUGCCUUUAGCCAGAGGAAGGUUUUGAGGCAAUAACAGUCUUUGGAUGCCCUCUAGAUGUUCUGGGCCGCACGCGCGCUACCGCGCUACACUGAUGUAUUCAACGAGUCUAUAGCCUUGGCCGACAGGCCCGGGUAAUCUUUGAAAUUUCAUCGUGAUGGGGAUAGAUCAUUGCAAUUGUUGGUCUUCAACGAGGAAUUCCUAGUAAGCGCGAGUCAUCAGCUCGCGUUGACUACGUCCCUGCCCUUUGUACACACCGCCCGUCGCUCCUACCGAUUGAAUGGUCCGGUGAAGUGUUCGGAUCGCGGCGACGUGGGCGGUUCGCCGCCGGCGACGUCGCAAGUCCACUGAACCUUAUCAUUUAGAGGAAGGAGAAGUCGUAACAAGGUUUCCGUAGGUGAACCUGCGGAAG
rnacentral:rRNA from 1 species